GGAGAGAUGGCUGAGCGGCUGAAAGCGCGUCCCUGCUAAGGACGUAAGGGUGAAAGCUCUUCGAGGGUUCGAAUCCCUCUCUCUCCG
rnacentral:tRNA from 1 species